rnacentral:rRNA from 1 species
GAUGAACGCUGGCGGCGUGCCUAAUACAUGCAAGUCGAGCGAACGGACGAGAAGCUUGCUUCUCUGAUGUUAGCGGCGGACGGGUGAGUAACACGUGGAUAACCUACCUAUAAGACUGGGAUAACUUCGGGAAACCGUAGCUAAUACCGGAUAAUAUUUUGAACCGCAUGGUUCAAAAGUGAAAGACGGUCUUGCUGUCACUUAUAGAUGGAUCCGCGCUGCAUUAGCUAGUUGGUAAGGUAACGGCUUACCAAGGCAACGAUGCAUAGCCGACCUGAGAGGGUGAUCGGCCACACUGGAACUGAGACACGGUCCAGACUCCUACGGGAGGCAGCAGUAGGGAAUCUUCCGCAAUGGGCGAAAGCCUGACGGAGCAACGCCGCGUGAGUGAUGAAGGUCUUCGGAUCGUAAAACUCUGUUAUUAGGGAAGAACAUAUGUGUAAGUAACUGUGCACAUCUUGACGGUACCUAAUCAGAAAGCCACGGCUAACUACGUGCCAGCAGCCGCGGUAAUACGUAGGUGGCAAGCGUUAUCCGGAAUUAUUGGGCGUAAAGCGCGCGUAGGCGGUUUUUUAAGUCUGAUGUGAAAGCCCACGGCUCAACCGUGGAGGGUCAUUGGAAACUGGAAAACUUGAGUGCAAAAGAGGAAAUGGAAUUCCAUGUGUAGCGGUGAAUGCGCAGAGAUAUAGAGGAACACCAGUGGCGAAGUCGACUUUCUGGUCUGUAACUGAUGCUUGAUGUGCGAAAGCCCGGGGGGUCAAACCG